CCCUGCCAUUUGUACACACCGCCCGUCGCUCCUACCGAUUGAGUGUGUUGGUGAGGAGUUCGGAUUGGCUCUUAGUGGUGGUUCGCCACCACCUAGAGCUGAGAAGUUCUCCAAACCGCCCCACUUAGAGGAAGGAGAAGUCGUAACAAG
rnacentral:rRNA from 1 species